rnacentral:lncRNA from 1 species
GCGGAUAUUAUUAGUUUUAGAAAGAGGUAUUCAGCUGGAGAGAAAAAAAAUACUUUUUAGAUUGCUACAAGAUUGAAGGGAGAUUUCAUAAUUCCUUGGAGAUUAAAAUAGUGUUUUUUCUAACUCUCAAUCUGAAUUAUAUUUUAUUUAGUUAUUUAUUGUGGUUAUUGUUUAACUAGUAUGAGUAACUGAUCUCUGUAUUAGAGUGAUGCAUGUAGUUUAAUAGAUUUUUUAUUGGAUUUUAAUGAUAAUUCUCUUUAGUUCUUGAUUUAAUCUUAUUGUGCUUAUUGUGAAUAUUAUGCCUAAUUAUCAUAGUAUUAUUAUUCUAGGUUUGUAUGAUAGAAUGAAAGGAGAAGUAUAAAUCUAGAUCUAGGAAAUUAAACAUAGUGAUUUUAGGUAAAUAAAUAUAUGUAAUAGACUAUGAUGCUUGAAUUGUUACUUAAUGGGUUUGAUUAUGUCUAUUUCCCUUUAGGAACAAUUGCAUUUAAGAAUUGAGAAAUUGAUUUGACCUCCAUGAGAAUUGCCAUUAAUUGAAACCCAGAUCUCUAGUGUUUUUAACUAUUAAAGUUCUAUCAUUUUUAUUAAUUUCUUUUAUUAUUUCAAUUCCCAAUCUUUACAAUUUGAUUCUUUUAGUUUACACAAGUUUUUGGCACAUAUCAAUUGAGUUGUCCACAUGGCAUCAAUCUUGAUCCACCAUUCUAUACUGCAAUUACCUUAUACACUCGCAGGUGAAGAUUUUAGCAAUCAAGUUUUUGGCACUACUGCCGAGGAUAAUGGUUUCUAAUUAUUAUUUAUUCAAAUCUUGUGUUUGUUUUAUUUAUUUAUUUUAUUUUAUUUUAUUAUUUUCUUCCUUAUUUAUUUAUUUAUUUAUUUAUUUUUUUCUUGGUUUUAUAGGUAUUUUAUGCAUUUGAGAAGAUCUAAGAGUGUAGAGCAAGCAAUAAUUGUCCCAUUUGAUUCUGAGAUCGAAAAGACCUAUAAAGCUAAUAGAAAAAUAAGAAAGAACGUAUGGCAAACGAGAGGAAUGCAAUUGUGGCAGCAGAGGAGAAUACCCUUAGGCAUAGAGAUUUCCAAAAGCCUAAGAUUAAUGCAAACCUGCCCUGCAUUCAACUAAUUACGAAUGCCAUGAAUUAUGAGCUGAAAACUAUUCAUUUGACAAUGCUACCACAUUUUGAAGGAUUGGGUACUAAAGACCUAUUGUCAUUCAUGAAGAGAUUUUAUAAUGUAGUGCAGAUUUUCCCUCUUGGGAACUAAAUGAAGGAGAACAAAGGAAAAAGUGUUUUCCUUACUAUAUGAAGAACUCUGCUUGGACAUGAUUGUUGAAUUUACCUAAAGGGUCUUUAACUACUUGAGAUGAGGUGUAUGAUGCUUUUAUGAUGAAGUGCUAUUCACCUUAGAAGUCCUUGGAUCAUAGGUCUAGAAUAUGCAAUUUCACUCAAAAAGAAAGAGAAUCUUUCUAUAAUGCUUACUUGUAUCACUACUUCCUUUUUACUCUAUUGGUGCAGUUUUACUAUGAUGGACUGAUAAGUGCUAUAAGCACUUAGUUUGAAGUCUUGUUUUAUCUUAAUUUCAUCUUAAAUUGAGUUUAAUUUGUUUGUUAGAGUUUGUUUUUAGCCCAUUUUAGGUGCUUGGUAAGCUUGCAUGACAAAAGGAAGUUUUGGCAUCAAAAUACAUGAAAAAUCAGCCAAGAAGUACUUGUUUAUCAAGGAAUGGAGAAUCACACGGGCAAGAUAUAGGAAAAACCUGCUCGUGUGAUCUUGUAUAAAGUGAAAAAAUUGGCAGAUUGAAGGAGCGCACGGCACGAGAAGCACAUGCCCGUAUGGCUUUCCCGUGUGAGUUGAAAAAAAUGGCAGAUUGUCCAAGACACGACACGGAAAGAGGACAUGCCCGUGUACCCUUCCCGCGUGACCAGAGAAUUUUCUUAAGAAUAAUUUUUAGCUAAGGACACCAUAUGGCCAUAUGGUGCCCGUGUGGUCCUCGUAUGGAUCGU